AGAGUUUGAUCAUGGCUCAGAACGAACGCUGGCGGCGUGCCUAACACAUGCAAGUCGAACGAGAAAGUCCGCAAGGAUGAGUAGAGUGGCGCACGGGUGAGUAACAGAUAGGAACGUACCUACAAAUUUGGGAUAACUAUGGGAAACUGUAGCUAAUACUGGAUAAUGACCGCGAGGUUUAAAGGGGGGCGCGCAAGCGUUUUACUGUUUGUCGAUCGGCCUAUCUCCCAUUAGCUUGUUGGCAGGGUAAUGGCCUACCAAGGCUACGAUGGGUAGCUGGUCUGAGAGGAUGAUCAGCCACACUGGAACUGAGACACGGUCCAGACUCCUACGGGAGGCAGCAGUAGGGAAUAUUGGACAAUGGGGGAAACCCUGAUCCAGCAACGCCGCGUGAGUGAUGAAGGCCUAUGGGUCGUAAAGCUCUUUCGAUUGGGAAGAAGGUAUGGGAGUAAUGAUCUGGAGCUGAAGGUACCAUACAAGAAAGCACCGGCUAACUACGUGCCAGCAGCCGCGGUAAUACGUAGGGUGCUAGCGUUGUUCGGAAUUACUGGGCGUAAAGCGUAUGUAGGCGGCCAUUCAAGUUGGAUGUGAAAGCCCUGGGCUUAACCUGGGAACUGCAGUCGAAACUGAAGAUCUUGAAUAUCUGAGGGGUUGGUGGAAUUCCAGGUGUAGGAGUGAAAUCCGUAGAUAUCUGGAGGAACACCAGAGGCGAAGGCGGCCAACUGGCAGUAUAUUGACGCUGAGGUGCGAAAGCAUGGGGAGCAAACAGGAUUAGAUACCCUGGUAGUCCAUGCCGUAAACGAUGAUUACUAGGUGUUUGGGAUGUUAACCUCCUGAGUACUACAGCUAACGCAUUAAGUAACCCGCCUGGGGAGUACGGUCGCAAGGCUAAAACUCAAAGGAAUUGACGGGGGCCCGCACAAGCGGUGGAGUAUGUGGUUUAAUUCGAAGCAACGCGCAGAACCUUACCUACCCUUAACAUCCCGGGGCGCAUGCAGAGAUGUAUGUUUCUCUUCGGAGACUCGGUGAUAGGUGCUGCAUGGCUGUCGUCAGCUCGUGUCGUAAGAUGUUCGGUUAAGUCCGGUAACGAGCGCAACCCUUAUCCUUAGUUACCAGCAUUAAGUUGGGGACUCUGGGGAGACUGCCGGUGUUAAACCGGAGGAAGGCGGGGAUGACGUCAAGUCCUCAUGGCCCUUACGGGUAGGGCUACACACGUACUACAAUGGCGGAAACAAACCCGUUGCGAAGCCGCGAGGUGGAGCCAAUCGGUAAAACACCGUCUCAGUCCGGAUUGAAGUCUGCAACUCGACUUCAUGAAGCUGGAAUCGCUAGUAAUCGCUGAUCAGCAAGCAGCGGUGAAUACGUUCCCGGGCCUUGUACACACCGCCCGUCACACCACGAGAGUGUUCAUAACCAGAAGCACGUGAGCUAACUGCAAAGAGGCAGCGUACCAAGGUUGUGGCUGCGAUUGGGGUGAAGUCGUAACAAGGUAGCCGUAGGGGAACCUGUGGCUGGAUCACCUCCUU
rnacentral:rRNA from 1 species